rnacentral:rRNA from 1 species
UACAGAGGUCCCGAGCGUUGUUCGGAUUCAUUGGGCGUAAAGGGUGUGUAGGUGGCGCGCUAAGUCGGGUGUGAAAUCUCGGAGCUUAACUCCGAAACUGCAUUCGAUACUGCCGUGCUUUGAGGACUGGAGAGGAGACUGGAAUUUUACGGUGUAGCGGUGAAAUGCGUAGAUAAUUGGCUGGAACACCGGUGGCGAAAGCGGCUCUCUGGCCCGGUUCUGACGCUGAGGCGCGAAAGCGUGGGGAGCAAACAGG